CCUACGGGGGGCAGCAGUGAGGAAUAUUGGUCAAUGGCCGGAAGGCUGAACCAGCCAAGCCGCGUGAGGGAGGAAGGCGCAGAGCGUCGCAGACCUCUUUUGCCGGGGGACAAAAGGCCGGACGGGUCCGGUUCUGAGGGUACCCGGAGAAAAAGCAUCGGCUAACUCCGUGCCAGCAGCCGCGGUAAUACGUAGGGGGCAAGCGUUAUCCGGAUUUACUGGGUGUAAAGGGUGCGUAGGUGGCAGGGCAAGUCAGAUGUGAAAGCCCGGGGCCCAACACCGGUACUGCAUUUGAAACAGUCCGG
rnacentral:rRNA from 1 species